rnacentral:rRNA from 1 species
CUACGGGUGGCAGCAGUGGGGAAUAUUGGACAAUGGGCGAAAGCCUGAUCCAGCCAUGCCGCGUGUGUGAAGAAGGCCUUCGGGUUGUAAAGCACUUUCAGUGGGGAAGAAAGCCUUGGGGCUAAUACCCUCGAGGAAGGACAUCACCCACAGAAGAAGCACCGGCUAACUCCGUGCCAGCAGCCGCGGUAAUACGGAGGGUGCGAGCGUUAAUCGGAAUUACUGGGCGUAAAGCGCGCGUAGGCGGUCUGAUAAGCCGGUUGUGAAAGCCCCGGGCUCAACCUGGGAACGGCAUCCGGAACUGUCAGGCUAGAGUGCAGGAGAGGAAGGUAGAAUUCCCGGUGUAGCGGUGAAAUGCGUAGAGAUCGGGAGGAAUACCAGUGGCGAAGGCGGCCUUCUGGACUGACACUGACGCUGAGGUGCGAAAGCGUGGGUAGCAAACAGGAUUAGAUCCCUUGUAGUC